UAUCGCCCUCCUACGGGAGGCAGCAGCAUACGGAGCAGUCCUACGGGAGGCAGCAGUGGGGAAUAUUGCGCAAUGGGCGGAAGCCUGACGCAGCGACGCCGCGUGGGGGAUGACGGCCUUCGGGUUGUAAACCUCUUUCGACCUUGACGAAGCCUUUCGGGGUGACGGUAGGGGUAGAAGAAGCACCGGCCAACUACGUGCCAGCAGCCGCGGUAAUACGUAGGGUGCGAGCGUUGUCCGGAAUUAUUGGGCGUAAAGAGCUCGUAGGCGGUCUGUCGCGUCGGUCGUGAAAACUUGGGGCUUAACCCUGAGCUUGCGGUCGAUACGGGCAUGACUGGAGUUCGGCAGGGGAGACUGGAAUUCCUGGUGUAGCGGUGAAAUGCGCAGAUAUCAGGAGGAACACCGGUGGCGAAGGCGGGUCUCUGGGCCGAUACUGACGCUGAGGAGCGAAAGCGUGGGGAGCGAACAGGAUUAGAUACCCUGGUAGUCCACGCCGUAAACGGUGGGCGCUAGGUGUGGGGGCCAUUCCACGGUCUCUGUGCCG
rnacentral:rRNA from 1 species